UUGUGAUCGUCUCUCGCAUAUCAAUAAGCGGAGGAAAAGAAACUAACAAGGAUUCCCCUAGUAACGGCGAGUGAAGCGGGAAGAGCUCAAAUUUGAAGUCUUAAAGGGUUUCCUUUUACGAAUUGUAGUUUAAAGAAGUGUUUUCUGUUGAGGUUUUGGUAAAAGUUCUUUGGAAUAGGACAUCAUAGAGGGUGAGAAUCCCGUAUUUGACCUUUACUUUCAACUUUGUGAUACACUUUCAAAGAGUCGGAUUGUUUGGGAAUGCAGUCCAAAAUGGGUGGUAAAUUUCAUCUAAAGCUAAAUAUUGGCGAGAGACCGAUAGCGAACAAGUACCGUGAGGGAAAGAUGAAAAGAACUUUGAAAAGAGAGUUAAACAGUACGUGAAAUUGUCAAAAGGGAAGCGUUUGACACCAGUGUUGUUUUUCUGAAAAUCAAUUAAAGAACUGUUUAUGCUAAGUUGUUUAGACUUUAUCAGCUAUCUGUUUAGUUUUGAGCUUUUCUUUAAUGCACUUUUCAGUUAACAAGUCAACAUCAAUUUCUUUUGCUGUAAAAAAGCUUGAGGAAGGUGGCUUGAGAUUCGUCUUAAGUGUUUAUAGCCUCUUGCCUAUGCAGUCGGAGAGAUUGAGGUCUGCAGCGUAGAUCCUUCGGGGCUAAAUGCAUUUGUGCUAAGUUAUAGCAUUUUAUAGACAACUUGUUGACUAUGAUUUGUCUUGUAGCUUACUCGCUUAUGUUAUUUUACCUACGCUUAGGAUGUUGACACACGCGCGUGCUCG
rnacentral:rRNA from 1 species